rnacentral:rRNA from 1 species
AACGAACGCUGGCGGCAUGCCUAACACAUGCAAGUCGAACGAGAUCUUCGGGUCUAGUGGCGCACGGGUGCGUAACGCGUGGGAAUCUGCCCUCAGGUUCGGAAUAACCAUUGGAAACGAUGGCUAAUACCGGAUGAUGACGUUAAGUCCAAAGACUUAUCGCCUGAGGAUGAGCCCGCGUAGGAUUAGCUAGUUGGUGUGGUAAAGGCGCACCAAGGCGACGAUCCUUAGCUGGUCUGAGAGGAUGAUCAGCCACACUGGGACUGAGACACGGCCCAGACUCCUACGGGAGGCAGCAGUGGGGAAUAUUGGACAAUGGGCGAAAGCCUGAUCCAGCAAUGCCGCGUGAGUGAUGAAGGCCUUAGGGUUGUAAAGCUCUUUUACCCGGGAUGAUAAUGACAGUACCGGGAGAAUAAGCUCCGGCUAACUCCGUG